rnacentral:lncRNA from 1 species
CAGUAUUCUGUGGCGUGGUUGGAGCAGUAGCAAGACACGAAUAUACAGUUAUUGGCCCAAAAGUGAGUCUUGCGGCCAGAAUGAUAACUGCUUAUCCAGGUUUGGUGUCCUGUGAUGAGGUAACAUAUCUAAGAUCCAUGCUACCUGCUUACAACUUCAAGAAACUCCCAGAGAAAAUGAUGAAAAACAUCUCCAACCCAGGGAAGAUAUAUGAAUAUCUUGGCCACAGAAGAUGUAUAAUGUUUGGAAAAAGACAUUUGGCAAGAAAGAGAAACAAAAAUCACCCUUUGUUAGACUGGGAGAAAGAAUUGGAAGCCUUCCAAAUGGCACAGCAAGGGUGUUUGCACCAGAAGAAGGGACAAGCAGUUCUGUAUGAAGGUGGAAAAGGCUAUGGAAAAAGCCAGCUGUUGGCUGAAAUAAACUUUCUGGCACAGAAAGAAGGGCAUAGCUACCCUUCACAGGUGCUUUGGAAACCCA